rnacentral:misc_RNA from 1 species
GAUGAAGAACGCAGCGAAGUGCGAUAAGUAAUGUGAAUUGCAGAAUUCCGUGAAUCAUCGAAUCUUUGAACGCAAAUUGCACUCUUUGGUAUUCCGAAGAGUAUGCCUGUUUGAGGGUCAGUUAAAUAAAAAUCGAGUGUUGUUGCUGCCUUUCGUGGUGACGCUUCGGAUCUGGGUCGUCUUACCUUCGGUUAAGUGACCUAAAAUUUAGCAUGAUUUUUCGAACGUAUUUAAAUUAUUUACGUACGUUUGUGAUAUCGAAUAUACUGGAUGUGGUCAUUCUCAUGAUUCGCGUCUAUAAUUUUUUGUAAAAUGACCUCAAAUCAGGUAAGAGUACCCGCUGAACUUAAGCAUAUCAAUAAGCGGAGGA